GGAGAGAUGGCCGAGUGGUCGAAGGCGCUCGCCUGCUAAGCGAGUGUACGCAAGUACCGUGGGUUCGAAUCCCACUCUCUCCG
rnacentral:tRNA from 1 species